rnacentral:tRNA from 1 species
GGGGAUAUGGUUCAGUGGUAGAACGCUUGCCUAGCAAGUGUGAGGUCCUGGGUUUGAUCCCCAGUACCAUUA